GGUUGACCUCGGAUCAGGUAGGGAUACCCGCUGAACUUAAGCAUAUCAAUAAGCGGAGGAGGGGUUGCGGGYCCCCCCUCCSGGGGGGGGUCC
rnacentral:rRNA from 1 species